GCGGGCCCGGGUCGGGGAGGACGCGAGGCCCAGGCCGAGCUGUGCGCGUGAGGACGAGAGCGACGGUGGGCAGGGACAGGCAGGCGCCCCUUCCUCCCGCUCAGCAACCCGCCUUCGGGCUCCCUGGCUGCUUCCCCGAGGGCAGCCUUGACUGGGAAAUGUCACCCUACCCCGGGAAAGGAAGAUCAACGGAGGGGGAUUGCAGUUUCGCUGGCGGCCCCACAGCCCCCAGCCUCCAGUCAGAGGACAAGGAACAGGAGGGAUCCAGAGGCUGUUGAAAAAUGUACUCUUUCCUCAUCAUCAGAAAACGAGAGAAUGGAGCCGGGUGCAGUGGCUCACGCCUGUAAUCCAAGCACUUUGGGAGUCCGAGGCCAGCAAAUCACCUGAGGUCAGGAGUUCCAGACCAGCCGGGCAACAUGGUG
rnacentral:lncRNA from 10 species